rnacentral:misc_RNA from 1 species
UUUUUUUCAAGAGAAGACAUAAAAAUGUAUUUCGAGCUCAUGGGGAGAUAAAUAAGAAAAUUGAAAUGCAGAAGUAAAAAAAAAAAAUGGUAAAUAGAUAAUAAAUGUCAAUCAUUAUCAGUUUGGCAAAAUGUUGCCAUUACGUUCAUCACUGUUCAUCACCGUUGAAAAUGAACCCACCAAUCACCACACUGUUCCACAUCCGUUCAUUGAUAAUUAAUGAACAACAAAGAAAGUGAAAAGAACUCAAAUCUCUGUAAAAAGGUGAAACUAUACCCUUCCAUUAUUGCAUAGAAAAUCAAGA